rnacentral:rRNA from 1 species
CCUACGGGAGGCAGCAGUGAGGAAUAUUGGUCAAUGGCCGAGAGGCUGAACCAGCCAAGUCGCGUGAGGGAAGAAUGUCCUAUGGAUUGUAAACCUCUUUUGUCAGGGAGCAAAGUCACCCACGUGUGGGUGUUGGAGAGUACCUGAAGAUAAAGCAUCGGCUAACUCCGUGCCAGCAGCCGCGGUAAUACGGAGGAUGCGAGCGUUAUCCGGAUUUAUUGGGUUUAAAGGGUGCGUAGGCGGGUUAUCAAGUCAGCGGUAAAAUCGUGGAGCUCAACUCCAUCCAGCCGUUGAAACUGAUGAUCUUGAGUGGGCGAGAAGUAUGCGGAAUGCGUGGUGUAGCGGUGAAAUGCAUAGAUAUCACGCAGAACUCCGAUUGCGAAGGCAGCAUACCGGCGCCCGACUGACGCUGAAGCACGAAAGCGUGGGUAGCGAACAGGAUUAGAUACCCCAGUAGUC